rnacentral:rRNA from 1 species
GACGAACGCUGGCGGCGUGCUUAACACAUGCAAGUCGAACGAAGAGCGAUGGAAGCUUGCUUCUAUCAAUCUUAGCGGCGAACGGGUGAGUAACGCGUAAUCAACCUGCCCUUCAGAGGGGGACAACAGUUGGAAACGACUGCUAAUACCGCAUACGAUCUAAACUCGGCAUCGAGGAUAGAUGAAAGGUGGCCUCUACAUGUAAGCUAUCACUGAAGGAGGGGAUUGCGUCUGAUUAGCUAGUUGGAGGGGUAACGGCCCACCAAGGCGAUGAUCAGUAGCCGGUCUGAGAGGAUGAACGGCCACAUUGGGACUGAGACACGGCCCAGACUCCUACGGGAGGCAGCAGUGGGGAAUCUUCCGCAAUGGACGAAAGUCUGACGGAGCAACGCCGCGUGAGUGAUGACGGCCUUCGGGUUGUAAAGCUCUGUUAAUCGGGACGAAAGGCCUUCUUGCGAAUAGUGAGAAGGAUUGACGGUACCGGAAUAGAAAGCCACGGCUAACUACGUG